AAAAAUGACUCUCGGCAACGGAUAUCUAGGCUCUGGCAUCGAUGAAGAACGUAGCAAACUGCGAUACGUGGUGCGAAUUGCAGAAUCCCGUGAACCAUCGAGUUUUCGAACGCAAGUUGCGCCCGAAGUCGCUAGGCGGAGGGCACGUCUGCCUGGGCGUCACC
rnacentral:rRNA from 1 species